UACGUAGGGUGCGAGCGUUAAUCGGAAUUACUGGGCGUAAAGCGUGCGCAGGCGGUUUUGUAAGCCAGAUGUGAAAGCCCCGGGCUCAACCUGGGAAUGGCAUUUGGGACUGCAAGGCUUGAGUGCGGCAGAGGAGACUGGAAUUCCUGGUGUAGCAGUGAAAUGCGUAGAUAUCGAGAGGAACACCAGUGGCGAAGGCGAGUCUCUGGACGACACCUGACACUGAGGCACGAAAGCUAGGGGAGCAAACAGG
rnacentral:rRNA from 1 species